rnacentral:rRNA from 1 species
GUAGGGUCCGAGCGUUGUCCGGAAUUAUUGGGCGUAAAGAGCUCGUAGGCGGUUUGUCGCGUCUGCUGUGAAAUCCCGGGGCUCAACUCCGGGCCUGCAGUGGGUACGGGCAGACUUGAGUGGUGUAGGGGAGACUGGAAUUCCUGGUGUAGCGGUGGAAUGCGCAGAUAUCAGGAGGAACACCGAUGGCGAAGGCAGGUCUCUGGGCACUUACUGACGCUGAGGAGCGAAAGCGUGGGGAGCGAACAGGAUUAGAUACCCUGGUAGUCCACGCCGUAAACGUUGGGCGCUAGAUGUGGGGACCUUUCCACGGUUUCCGUGUCGUAGCUAACGCAUUAAGCGCCCCGCCUGGGGAGUACGGCCGCAAGGCUAAA